UUGGAGGGCAAGUCUGGUGCCAGCAGCCGCGGUAAUUCCAGCUCCAAUAGCGUAUAUUAAAGUUGUUGCAGUUAAAAAGCUCGUAGUUGAACCUUGGGCCUGGCUGGCCGGUCCGCCUCACCGCGUGCACUGGUCCGGCCGGGCCUUUCCCUCUGCGGAACCCCAUGCCCUUCACUGGGUGUGGCGGGGAAACAGGACUUUUACUUUGAAAAAAUUAGAGUGCUCAAGGCAGGCCUAUGCUCGAAUACAUUAGCAUGGAAUAAUAGAAUAGGACG
rnacentral:rRNA from 1 species